rnacentral:lncRNA from 1 species
GAACAAAAGUAAAAAACAAGCUAGAGUUGGGUGUGCAACUAAGGUUGGGCUUGCUUAUACAACUGUUCUAAGAGAUACUUGAUCUGAUCAUCCUUCUUCUGAAGUAGCUCAUCCUUUUCCCUCAUUCUUCGUUUAAAUCCAGCCUGAAUUCUAGCAGCCCUAGUGAUGUACUCUUCUUCUGGAUAGAAAGGAGUGAUGUCCAGCAGAGGCACAAAAUUCAGCUCUUUCUCCUUAGCUGCUUCAUGCAUAUCAUCCAAAAGCUUCUUCAGCAUAGCAGAGUGAGAUGACACACAUUUAGUUCUAAGCUGAUCCAGCAGCUCAUCAAAGCUUUUCUGUAGAUCCAUCCACUGAUCAUAAUAGUGAAUAGGAGGUGCAGGAACUGUUCUGCGAAG